UAGGGAAUCUUCCGCAAUGGACGCAAGUCUGACGGAGCAACGCCGCGUGAGUGAAGAAGGAUUUCGGUUCGUAAAACUCUGUUGUUAGAGAAGAACAGCGCAUAGAGUAACUGUUAUGCGUGUGACGGUAUCUAACCAGAAAGCCACGGCUAACUACGUGCCAGCAGCCGCGGUAAUACGUAGGUGGCAAGCGUUGUCCGGGUUUAUUGGGCGUAAAGCGAGCGCAGGCGGUCAAUUAAGUCUGAUGUGAAAGCCCCCGGCUCAACCGGGGAGGGUCAUUGGAAACUGGUUGACUUGAGUGCAGAAGAGGAGAGUGGAAUUCCAUGUGUAGCGGUGAAAUGCGUAGAUAUAUGGAGGAACACCAGUGGCGAAGGCGACUCUCUGGUCUGUAACUGACGCUGAGGCUCGAAAGCGUGGGUAGCAAACAGG
rnacentral:rRNA from 1 species